GGUCCGCACGUGUGUCUAGCGUGCCUUUAUAUUGUGCUACAGCUAAAUGUUUCCGAACGAACUAUAACUACGUUUAUAUUAAAGUUUAACAAUUAUAAACUUACGUUAUAUUUAUACGAACCGAUAUUAAAUGUGUUUCUUUUUUGUGAAGAGGAAACGGACGUAACAUCGACUGUUAAGCUUUUAUAUUUUUAAUUUAUUGUGUAAUGAAUGAAUGACUUCAGUGCUCUUUCAAUUAAAGUUGUACGUAAUUGUAUUAUUUUCUACUUCCUCCGUAGAUUAAUUAGAUCUUGUAUGAAACCGGAACGUUGAAAAUUAAUUAAUUGUAUUUUAAUAACGAACAAUAUAGUUUCGCUGGAUGGAAUGUAUGACAAUAACUGAAUAUUUAAAUGAGACCAGAAAACCUGGAGGCCCCGCUACCUGUCCCGCGCGACGCAAAAAACAGCGUGUACGCUAUGAAUGAUCAGACUUUUCAUACGCCUU